rnacentral:rRNA from 1 species
GACGAACGCUGGCGGCAUGCUUAACACAUGCAAGUCGAACGGAAAGGCCUUGCUUUUGUGGGGUGCUCGAGUGGCGAACGGGUGAGUAACACGUGAGUAACCUGCCCUUGACUUUGGGAUAACUUCAGGAAACUGGGGCUAAUACCGGAUAGGAGCUCCUGCUGCAUGGUGGGGGUUGGAAAGUUUCGGCGGUUGGGGAUGGACUCGCGGCUUAUCAGCUUGUUGGUGGGGUAGUGGCUUACCAAGGCUUUGACGGGUAGCCGGCCUGAGAGGGUGACCGGCCACAUUGGGACUGAGAUACGGCCCAGACUCCUACGGGAGGCAGCAGUGGGGAAUAUUGCACAAUGGGCGGAAGCCUGAUGCAGCAACGCCGCGUGCGGGAUGACGGCCUUCGGGUUGUAAACCGCUUUCGCCUGUGACGAAGCGUGAGUGACGGUAAUGGGUAAAGAAGCACCGGCUAACUACGUG